rnacentral:tRNA from 1 species
UCCUCAAUAGCUCAGUUCUGUAGAGUGAUCGGCUGUUAACUGAUUGGUCGUAGGUUCGAAUCCUACUUGGGGAG